rnacentral:rRNA from 1 species
UACGUAGGGUGCAAGCGUUUAAUCGGAAUUACUGGGCGUAAAGCGUGCGCAGGCGGUGAUGUAAGACAGGUGUGAAAUCCCCGGGCUUAACCUGGGAACUGCAUUUGUGACUGCAUCGCUGGAGUGCGGCAGAGGGGGAUGGAAUUCCGCGUGUAGCAGUGAAAUGCGUAGAUAUGCGGAGGAACACCGAUGGCGAAGGCAAUCCCCUGGGCCUGCACUGACGCUCAUGCACGAAAGCGUGGGGAGAACAGG